UACCACGGACCGCUCACAGCCGUGUGCAUUCGGCCUAAAUCACACAAAUAGCAAUACAAUGUUUGUUUACGACUAUGUCCAUACCUUUUCUUUCUUUCUUAUUGUCUUUAAUAAUUUUAUGCAAACUAGGUAGUGCAAGUAACCGAUCCAGUACCCGGAGUACACUGAGCAUGAGCAGUGGCAUGGAAGGAGAUAAUGAGGAUAAUGAGGUUUCAGAACAUCCUCCACCAUACAAACCUAGGCAUUCCCUACCAGAAGAAACACCUCCACCAAGACCACCCAGGAUACAAACCAGAAGCACUAGAAGAUCUCAUAGAACCUCUGGCUACAGUAAUGCCCCACCAGUGCCACCUAGAGGCCGAAAUGAGAAGUAAAGAUGACAGAGAGAAGAAUAUAUAUUUUUCUAAUAACGAAUAGCAAAUGAACCACAGGAUUUUUUUACAGUUGUGUCUGAAAGGGCAAAAUAUGUCAACUCGAUGACUGACCAAUAAAAUGGACUCCGUUGGAGCUUUAUGGCCAGCUCACUCCUUUAUUGGUUCCCUUCAAAUAUGGAUUAAAUUAACCAGCCAGAAGAGAGUGAAGGACCAGUAAUCUAGAAUUCAGUAAUGGACAUCCGUACGAUAAAGACUUAAACCCCACGGGAGAUUGUGAGGACAAGAUUCUACAAUUAAACCGAUGUUUAAAAACAAAACUAACUUGACUUUUUGGGGUGAAUUCGCACAGAUAAAACCUCUGGCUGCUUCAUCUAGAUAACAUUUCCAUCCUUUUGUUAAGGACACAUUGCUUCCAUGAUUUUAUUUUGUUACAGAUAGUUUACAGAUCCAGCCAACAUGUUUCAUAUAUCAGAUUGUCUUCAUCUAUGUGUAUAUGUAAACUAAUGUUAACUGAUGUUUUCAGAUAUCAGUAAGGAGUCAUGGGGGAGGAGCCGCUCUCCCAAGGAGUCAUAGUGGCCGAUCCCCAUCCCACAGGCCUCCUAAAGUGGCAUUUGGUGCAUAUAC